GUAACUUAACCAAUGCGCCACCCGGGAGGCCUGUUGGACAGUAACUUAACCACUGCGCCACCCGGGAGGCCUGUUGGACAGUAACUUAACCAAUGCGCCACCCGGGAGGCCUGUUGGACAGUAACUUAACCACUGCGCCACCCGGGAGGCCUGUUGGACAGUAACUUAACCACUGCGCCACCCGGGAGGCCUGUUGGACAGUAACUUAACCACUGCGCCACCCGGGAGGCCUGUUGGACAGUAACUUAACCACUGCGCCACCCGGGAGGCCUGUUGGACAGUAACUUAACCAAUGCGCCACCCGGGAGGCCUGUUGGACAGUAACUUAACCAAUGCGCCACCCGGGAGGCCUGUUGGACAGUAACUUAACCACUGCGCCACCCGGGAGGCCUGUUGGACAGUAACUUAACCAAUGCGCCACCCGGGAGGCCUGUUGGACAGUAACUUAACCACUGCGCCACCCGGGAGGCCUGUUGGACAGUAACUUAACCACUGCGCCACCCGGGAGGCCUGUUGGACAGUAACUUAACCCUGACAAAUGGCUCCUAUUCACCCGGAAUCAUUCAUGCACUCUGAGGCAGUCCCCUAUGCCUAAACACAAUGCACAUAUAUUCACCCUAACCCAUAACAGGAUCAUUACUACGGAUUAUUCUAGAAAAGGUUCUUGAGUCAUAACAGCCUCCAACAGCACCAUUGUAUUUUAUCUUACCGUGUUGAGAAAAGCUUUCUCCAGCAUUCUGCUAUUUUUAUACUGAGAGAUACAUGUCUACACCUCAAACAAAGAAAAACCGCUUAUGAUCGGCGGAUAUUUUAUUUUGAUUGAACCUUUAUCUAGGCAAGUCAGUUGAGAACAAAUUCUUAUUUACAAUGGCGGCCUACCAAAAGGCAGAAAGGCCUGAGGGGCCUGGGAUUAAAAAUAAAAAUAUCUUUUAUGGUUUUAUUUGGUAAAUCAAGUGAGGUUGGUUCCAUAAAACAUAUAUAUAUACAAAUUACACUUCAGAGGUUAAUGUUUGUGACUAUAUAAAGCACAUUACAUUUGCAUAUCAGUCAACACAUUGACAGACCGGUCUUGGGGAUUUAACCAGAAGCUAACUAAAUGCUAUUGUCGGUACAUAGAUUACAAUAGAGUUCUAACCAUUAGACUACGUGUAUGUGCCUGGUUACCCAGGAACCGAACAGAAGGGACCAGGGGAAAAACAAACACAGAUCAUUAUGUUCCUGAAGUGCUUUUAUCUUUACACUGAGCAGCAGUUUUUCCAGGUCACUGGGUAGUUGUGUUGGGAACAUCACAGAGAGAGAACCCAGGCAACAGAUUUCUGCUGCCUGUCUCUCUCUAGCUCUGAACCAGGCUACAGAUUUCUGCUGCCUGUCUCUCUCUAGCUCUGAACCAGGCAACAGGUUUCUGCUGCCUGUCUCUCUCUCUAGCUCUGAACCAGGCUACAGAUUUCUGCCUGGCAACCAGCCAGUAUCAGGAGAAAAGGGGAACAUCUUGUCCCUUCAGUGGUGCUGCACAGAGAAGAACAGGCUGCGGACAAGUUAUGAAACGAAGAAAGGUUGUGAGGGGGGAAAUUAAUAAAAGAAAGAGGAGAGUAGGGGCAGAGGGGGGUAUAACUGGACUGUGUGUUUGAUUGAAUUCACAUCGUAUACCAAUGUAUGGAAUAAUAUACAAAGGGGGGUCUUUUCAAUCCAUAUCGAGGAAGUUCAGCGUUACGGCGUGAUUUACAUUUUAAAAGGCGAUGUUCACGGUAAAACGCUGAAAUAUGUCGGCUCAAUCAGAAAUGGCCUUUAAGUUUCGAUAGUGUGCGAUCUGUAACGCUUCGGCGAAUAGAGGUUGAAUAAAGGCUGACGUCUGUUUUAGAGAGCGCUUGCAGAAAUCGCUUAUUUUUUCUUUCUUCUCACCCUUCUGCCUUCAACGAAAUAGGAGUCAGGGUAGGAUAGGAAGUGACGCAAAAUGUAAAACAGGUCCAACAGCGACUGGCUUGAUCAAGUCCAUAUUUCUGUGCUGAGAGGACAGACAGAGUGGAAGGUGUCUUCUCUCUCUUGUCUUUCUUUUGGAGUCUUUUCCCUUUGUGUGUUUCAACCUGUUGAUUGGUGGUGGUGUGUCUCUACUGGACCGCUCUGUUGGCUGGGGGUGCCGGGUGAGGGUGGGCUGGAGGGGUGGUGGUGUGUCUCUACUGGACCGCUCUGUUGGCUGGGGGUGCCGGGUGAGGGUGGGCUGGAGGGGUGGUGGGCUGGGGCGCUGGACCGGGGUGCUGGACUGGGGGCGCCGGGUGAGGGUGGGCUGGAGGGGUGGUGGGCUGGGGCGCUGGACCGGGGUGCUGGACUGGGGGCGCUGGGUGAGGGUGGGCUGGAGGGGUGGUGGGCUGGGGGCGCUGGACGGGAAGGUGCGUGGUUUGGGGCUCCCCAGAACCACACUGACCCACCAUCCUUUAGAUAUCCCCCUGCUCCUGGGAACCCUGAGGAGGAUAUGAAGUGGAGGUUAGUAAAUCCCCCUGCUCCUGGGAACCCUGAGGAGGAUAUGAAGUGGUUAGUAAAUCCCCCUGCUCCUGGGAACCCUGAGGAGGAUAUGAAGUGGUUAGUAAAUCCCCCCCUGCUCCUGGGAACCCUGAGGAGGACACUCAAAAGAGGUGCUGGUACUCAAGUAGUAACAAAUGACAGGUGACAAUACAAAGUACAAGACAGACAGCACCAGUCUAGUUGAACCACUGUGUGAUGUCAUCAUUAAAGGAGUAGUGUGGAGAAUAUGAUGGUUCAGUCACCUGGUUGUGUUGACAUGGUCACCCAGACCAGUACUUGGAGCAUCGACCAAUCAGAGAGGCUGUAGACUGCAGUAGGCUUUAUACUCUCUGUAGGGCUUGUUGUGUCUAUGGAAAGAGAUACAACAGUGACUAUCCGGAGAGGGAUAAAACAGUGACUAUAAGGAGAGAGAUAAAACAGUGACUAUAUGGAGAGAGAUAAAACAGUGACUAUAUGGAGAGAGAUAAAACAGUGACUAUAUGGAGAGAGAUAAAACAGUGACUAUAUGGAGAGAGAUAAAACAGUGACUAUAUGGAGAGAGAUAAAACAGUGACUAUAAGGAGAGAGAUAAAACAGUGACUAUAUGGAGAGAGAUAAAACAGUGACUAUAGAGAGAUAAAACAGUGACUAUAUGGAGAGAGAUAAAACAGUGACUAUAUGGAGAGAGAUAAAACAGUGACUAUAUGGAGAGAGAUAAAAAGGUGACUAUAUGGAGAGAUAAAACAGUGACUUUAGAGAGAGAGAUAAAACAGUGACUAUAUGGAGAGAGAUAAAACAGUGACUACAGAGAGAGAUAAAACAGUGACUCUACGGAGAUAGAUGAAACAGUGACUAUCACAUUUCAGAUAAGCACAUUCACAUGCAGCUUUUCAGAGACAUUCCUGGUUGCUCAGUCUAUCUGUAUCAGUGGGGAACCGUCAGGGCCUUCUAGGCCUUCCUCAAGGAUUUAUGCAGAUGUAUGUUUUUUUUAAAUGUAAAUGUUGUUUUAAUUUCUAUUUAAUCUUUAAAAUAAUCUUAAUAAUCAUCAUCUGAUUUCAUCUUCAGAUUUUCUUUAGCUAGCUUGUGUUGUAGUAGUGUCAUAAUGUUAGCUAACUUGUGUUGUAGUAGUGUCAUAAUGUUAGCUAGCUUGUGUUGUAGUAGUGUCAUAAUGUUAGCUAACUUGUGUUGUAGUAGUGUCAUAAUGUUAGCUAGCUUGUGUUGUAGUAGUGUCAUAAUGUUAGCUAGCUUGUGUUGUAGUAGUGUCACGAUGUUAGCUAGCUUGUGUGUAGUAGUGUCAUAAUGUCAGCUAGCUUGUGUUGUAGUAGUGUCACAAUGAAGAUGGCUGCAGCAACUGUUAUCAGCUUCAAAGUGGUGUUAAGCUACCAUAGGUUGUGUAAACAGUGUGCUUUUUGUUUUGUUGGUCGCAUUAUUUUAUGCUGUGUGUCAUUUUGUGCCCAUGCCGGUUCGGUCUCUGUGUGUGAGGCAGCCAGGAGCGGUGGCCAGGCCUGUUCGAUUCAUUCAUAAUGACAUCAAAAAAAUCACUGCUCCUACUUCACUACAACUAGAAUGGUCCAACUACAGAAGAUAUGAUGCACUAAGUGAUGCUAUGUUUUCCGUUAUUUUCUUGAUAUUUGAGUUUGAUACAACACAUUGUUGCCACCCCUAUUACUAGCCUGUUCAACCUCUCUUUCGUGUCGUCUGAGAUUCCCAAAGAUUGGAAAGCAGCUGCGGUCAUCCCCCUCUUCAAAGGGGGGGACACUCUUGACCCAAACUGCUACAGACCUAUAUCUAUC
ensembl:lncRNA